GACGAACGCUGGCGGCGUGCUUAACACAUGCAAGUCGAACGGAAAGGCCCUGCUUUUGUGGGGUGCUCGAGUGGCGAACGGGUGAGUAACACGUGAGUAACCUGCCCUUUACUUUGGGAUAACUUCAGGAAACUGGGGCUAAUACCGGAUAGGAUCUCCUGCUGCAUGGUGGGGGUUGGAAAGUUUCGGCGGUUGGGGAUGGACUCGCGGCUUAUCAGCUUGUUGGUGGGGUAGUGGCUUACCAAGGCUUUGACGGGUAGCCGGCCUGAGAGGGUGACCGGACACAUGGGGACUGAGAGACGGACCAGAAUCGUACGGGAGGCAGCAGGGGGGAAUAGUGCAAAAUGGGAGGAAGCCUGAUGCAGCAACGCCGCGUGCGGGAUGACGGACUUCGGGUUGUAAAAAGAUGUAGACUGUGACGAAGAGUGAGUGACGGUAAUGGGUAAAGAAGCACCGGCUAACUACGUG
rnacentral:rRNA from 1 species